CGACCCCAGGUCAGGCGGGAUUACCCGCUGAGUUUGGCAUAUCAAUAAGCGGAGGAAAAGAAACUUACCAGAUUCCCUAGUAACGGCGAGCGAACCGGAAAAGCCCAGCUUGAGAACUGGCGCCACCGGCGUUCGAAUUGUAGUCCGAGAAGCGUCCCAGCGGCGGACUGGGCCCAAGUCCCCUGGAAAGGGGCGCCGGAGAGGGUGAGAGCCCCGUCGUGCCUGGACCCCGUCGCACCAUGAGGUGCCGUCACGAGUCGGGUUGUUUGGGAAUGCAGCCCUAAUCGGGCGGUAAAUUCGUCCAAGGCUAAAUACGGGCGAGAGACCGAUAGCGAACAAGUACCGCGAGGGAAAGAUGAAAAGGACUUUGAAAAGAGAGUCAAAGAGUGCUUGAAAUUGUCGGGAGGGAAGCGAUGGGGCCGGCGACGCGCCCUGGUCGGAUGUGGAACGGCGAGAGCCGGUCCGCCGAUCGGCCUGGGCAUGGACCGACGCGGGUCGUGGCGGCGGCCCAAGCCCGCCUUGAUACGCUCCGUGGAGACGUCGUCGCCUCGAUCGUGGGAUCCAGCACGCGCCGUCUCGGCGUGCUUCGGCACCUGUGUGCUCCGGGCGUCGGCCUGCGGGUUUCUAUUCGGCCCGUCUUGAAACACGGACCAAGGAGUCUGACAUGUGCGAGUCAACGGCUAGAAAACCCGUAAGGCGUAAGGGAAGCUGAUUGGCGGAUCCUCACGGGUGCACCGCCGACCGACCUUGAUCUUUCCGAGAAGGGUUCGAGGAGAGCAUUAUCGCUGGACCCGAAAGAUGGUGAACUGCCUCGAAGGGGCGAAGCCGAGGAAAUCUGGUGGAGGCCCGCAGCGAUACUCGACGUGCAAAUCGUUCGUCCGACGGUAUAGCGAAAGACUAAUCGAACCGUCUAGUAGCUGGUUCCUCCAGUUUCCUCGUGAUAGCUGGAGCCCUUAGCGAGUUCUAUCGGUAAAGCCAAUGAUUAGAGGCAUCGGGGCGCAACGCCCUCGACUAUUCUCAAACUUUAAAUAGGUAGGAUUGCGUAUGCUGUUUGUUGAGCCGCGCCACGGAAUCGAGAGCCCAAGUGGGCCAUUUUGGUAAGGAACUCGCGAUGCGGGAUGAACCGAAGCCGGGUUACGGUGCCCAACCGCGCUAACCAGAACCCACAAAGGUGUUGGUCGAUUAAGACAGCAGGACGGUGGCAUGGAAGUCGAACGCUAAGGAGUGUAACAACUCACCUGCCGAAUCAACUAGCCCUGAAAAUGGAUGGCGCUUAAGCGGCGACCCAUACCCGGCCGUCGGGGCAAGAGCCAGCCCCGAUGAGUAGGGAGGGCGCGGCGGUCGCCGUAAAACCCGGGCGUGAGCCCGCGGAGCGGCCGUCGCAGAUCUUGGUAGUAGCAAAUAUUCAAAUGAGAACUUUGAAGCCGAAGAGGGGAAAGGUUCCAUGUGAACGGCACUUGCACAUGGGUUAGUCGAUCCAAGAGACGGGGAAGCUCGUCCGAUAGCGCGUUCAGCGAGCUUCGAAAGGAAUCGGGUUAAAAUUUCAACCGACGCGGCGGCUGACGGCAACGUUAGAGUCCGGAGACGUCGGCGGGGGCCCCGGAAGAGUUAUCUUUCUGUUUAACGGCCUGCCCACCCCGAAACGGCUCACCGGAGGUAGGGUCCAGGCCGGAAGAGCACCGCACGUCGCGUGGUGUCCGCAGCCCCGGCGGCCCUUGAAAACUGGAGGACCGAGUGCCGUCCGCGCCCGGUCGUACUCAUAACCGCAUCAGGUCUCCAAGGUGAACAGCCUCCGUCAAUGGAACAAUGUAGGCAAGGGAAGUCGGCAAAUGGAUCCGUAACCCUCGAAAAGAUUGGCUCAGGGUCGGCACGGGGUCCCAGUCCCUGAACCUGUCGGCUGCCGUGCACUGCCUGAGCUGCUUCUGCGGCGAGAGCGGGUCGCCGCGUGCCGGCUGGGGACGGACUGAACGCCCUUCGGGGCCUUCCCGGCGACGAACAGUCGACUCGUAACUGGUACGGACAAGGGGAAUCUGACUGUUUAAUUAAACAAAGCAUUGCGAUGGUCCGCGGAUGCUCACGCAAUGAUUUCGCCAAAGGCUCAAUGUCAAAGUGAAGAAAUUCAACCAAGCGCGGUAAACGGCGGGAGUAACUAUGACUCUUACAUAGCCAAAUGCCUCGUCAUCUAAUUAGUGACGCAUGAAUGGAUUAACGAGAUUCCCACCGUCCCCGCUCACUAUCCAGCGAAACCACAGCCAAGGAACGGGCUUGGCAGAAUCAGCGGGAAAGAAGAUUGCUGCUUGACUCUAGUCCGACUUUGUGAAAUGACUUGAGAGUGUAGGAUAAUGGAGCUCGGGCGAAAUUGAAAUACCACUACUUUUAACGUUAUUUUACUUAUUCCGUGACCGGAGGCGGGCACGGCCCUCUUUGGACCCAAGGUCGGCGUCGGCCGGCCGAUCCGCGGAAGACAUUGUCGUGGGAGUUUGGGCGGCACAUCUGUUAAAAAGAUAACGUGUGUCCUAAGAUGAGCUCAACGAGAAUGUAAAUCUCGUGUGGAACAAAAGGGUAAAAGCUCGUUUGAUUCUGAUUUCCAGCACGAAUACGAACCGUGAAAGCGUGGCCUAUCGAUCCUUUAGACCUUCGGAAUUUGAAGCUAGAGGUGUCGUAAAAGUUACCACAGGAUAACUGGCUUGUGGCAGCCAAGCGUUCAUAGCGACGUUGCUUUUGAUCCUUCGAUGUCGGCUCUUCCUAUCAUUGUGAAGCAGAAUUCACCAAGUGUUGGAUUGUUCACCCACCAAUAGGGAACGUGAGCUGGGUUUAGACCGUCGGAGACAGGUUAGUUUUACCUACCGAUGGCCGCGUCGCAAUAGUAAUUCAACCUAGUACGAGAGGAACCGUUGAUUCGCACAAUUGGUCAUCGCGCUUGGUUGAAAAGCCGCUGGCGCGAAGCUACCGUGCGCUGGAUUAUGACUGAACGCCUCUAAGUCGAAUCCGGCUAGAAGCGACGCACGCGCCUGUCGCCCGAUUGCCGACUCCGCAGAGGGGCCUUUGGCCCCAAGGGCACGUGUCGUAGGUGCAGCGACCGCGGCGGACAAGUCGCGGGCGCCUCCUUGAGCGUAAUUCCCACCGAGCGGCGGGUAGAAUCUUUGCGACGACUUAAAUACGCGACGGGUAUUGUGGCGGCAGAGUGGCCUUGCUGCCACGAUCCACCGAGAUUCAGCCUUUGUCGCUUCGAUUCGU